UAUGAAGGAGGUUAGAUUAUUACCUGAAUAAUAAUAAAUUGAUUAAUUAUAAUUACGAAUAUCUAUAGUCACUUAUUUGAUUUCAAUGAUAAUUUUUUAGUGUGGACUGAUUAUUAUGGACUACGUACAAAAAUAUACUUUAUCGUUAUUUUCCGGAUACUUGGAUCCACGAUUGGCAAUUUGACAAAAUUUCUAAAUUCAAUAAAUUCUCCCUCUUUGGUAAAAUCCUGAACGAUUUACUGCCGGAGAUUAUCUACUGCACCAAGUCUGACGAUGAUAAUACAGUUUUAUGACUAACCCGUUUAAUAUUAUUAUUAUUAUCACGGGGGAAACUUUGCAGAGGUGUUC